rfam:Human gut metagenome DNA, contig sequence: In-D_012423.
ACGGACACUCUGGCAGGGCAAGCACCGUAAAGCAGCCCCGCCCCAUCUGCCC